GAGUGUCCACAUUAUCUGAAGCCUGCACAAACAAAAAUUGGGAAGAAAAUGAAGUACCAAAAUAAAUAAAGAUAAGUGCAUCGCUAUUUCUCACUUCUCAGUAUUUUCAUUCAUUUGACAAAAAAUAUAAGGAAAAUGAAUAUUUACAAACUCCUAUCCUUUAUCAUUUACAACCACGUCUAAUCUCUCCCAUCAAGCAUGAUCAACCAGGUGCAUUUCCACAACUUCACAUGUGGACCCAAACCCAUCCCUUCAUUCCUAAUCAAAUCACUUGCUUUCAGUCUUUCACUGAAUAUUCUCUCUCUCAAAAGUCUAGAGAUCAGUCUAGCUUUCUCAACUCUCUGUAGAUAAAACUUCCUUGCACUCACUAUGCUAACUCAUCCGACCCUCCAAAGUAAGGUGGUUGAAAAACAUUGUAGAACCAUUUCUCUACCUUAGGUUGCUUUGUGUUACCACAAUUAAUACCUUUUCAGUGGUUUUCCAUGCAAGUCAUUUGGAGUGACUUGAACAGACAAACUUUAUGGCCCUCCUUCACUGUCCAGAAUAUACCAAUCACUUAUUUUCUUCAGAUACAAUACAAAAGGCUACUGACCAUAAACUUCCUUACAAGAGAAACAUACUUCAAGUCAAGCAAAAUAAAAUUUCUUUUUGCUAUUGAAUGCCCUCAUCAUCAGAGGUCCUAAAAUGGAUAUAAUGAAGCCCUGGUGAUAAUGAUAAAUAGUGAAUACGAAAGGAUUAUUCUUCAUGCUUGUAUGCUCACAUAACAAUAGCAUUUUAUGUCAGCAUAUCAACAUUUUGACAACAAGAACUAACAUGAAUAUUAUCAUUCAAUCAAAAACUGAAAUCAU
rnacentral:misc_RNA from 1 species